rnacentral:rRNA from 1 species
CAGUCGCCGCGGGAAUACGUAGGGGGCAAGCGUUAUCCGGAAUAACUGGGCGUAAAGGGUGCGCAGGUGGUUUAACAAGUUAGUGGUGAAAGGCAUAGGCUCAACCAAUGUAAGCCAUUAAAACUGCUUAACUUGAGUGCAGGAGAGGAAAGUGGAAUUCCUAGUGUAGCGGUGAAAUGCGUAGAUAUAUGGAGGAACACCGGUGGCGAAAGCGGCUCUCUGGCUUGUAACUGACACUGAGGCUCGAAAGCGUGGGGAGCAAACAGGAUUAGAUACCCGUGUAGUCCCUGUCUCUUAUACA